ACGAACGCUAGCGGCGUGCCUAACACAUGCAAGUCGAGCGAGAAAAGACUUCGGUCUAAGUAAAGCGGCGCACGGGUGAGUAACACGUGGGUAACGUACCCUCGGGUGGGGGAUAACAGACCGAAAGGUUUGCUAAUACCGCAUCAGACCACAGUCCUCGCGGGGACAGGGGUCAAAGGGGGCUGUCGCAAGGCAGCUCUCGCCUGAGGAUCGGCCCGCGGACCAUUAGCUAGUUGGUAGGGUAACGGCCUACCAAGGCUACGAUGGUUAGCUGGUCUGAGAGGACGAUCAGCCACACUGGGACUGGAACACGGCCCAGACUCCUACGGGAGGCAGCAGUGGGGAAUAUUGCGCAAUGGGCGAAAGCCUGACGCAGCAACGCCGCGUGGGUGAAGAAGGCCUUCGGGUUGUAAAGCCCUGUCAGGGGGGAAGAAUGGGACGUCGUAACCCGGCGUUCUUGACGGUACCCUCAAAGGAAGCACUGGCUAACUCCGUG
rnacentral:rRNA from 1 species